AUGGAGGUCUCAGGGUUCUUGAACAGUAAGAUGGAUGUCACAGCCAAAUGCCAACUUGAAAUCUGGAUGGAAAUGGCUCCCUCCAAGCCCGAGCCUCAGGGGAAGGCUCAGCGGUCACAGCCCACCAACGCUUCCUCUCAGCUGCCAACGCUGAUCGGGGUGGGAAGUGCGGCUGCUUCCUGGAGAGGCUCAGCCCUGAGGUUACGGAAGACAGUGGGCAGACUGCGGAAAAUCACCCAGAGAUUGCUGCUGACAACUUCAGGUCUUCAGAGCAUCACCCUUCUGUUUAUAGCUGGAGAGAGGGGUGCCCAGCCAGGGAGAGCCAGGAACGGGUUCCGGCUUCCAUCACUCAGGUACUCAGGAGCCCCUGGUUCGUGAGGCUGGCAAGUCCCAGAUGAAGGUUCCUCGUUAUUGUCUCAGAUCACCAAAGGGUGGACGGACGGGGAGGAGGAGGGAAGCAAGGAAAAAUAAGGAAAGAAAGACACAGGAUCCCAUCUUUUCACAGCGCGGUCUUGGCUGCGGUGUGUCGAGGACCGGUCUCUAGCAGUCAUUCCCAAACCUGAACAUCCAGGCGGCCAGCCUCUAAGACGAGGCCCCAUGGGAAGUGAAGCCCCAGCGGAGCCACUCCUGGAUGUUCUGGUGGGAGGGUUUUGGGGAAUCCUCCACACAGCCCAUCUCAUCUCCAAGAGGCUGGAGGCCCCACAGGUGGACACAGUGUUGGGCAGCCCCUUGGUGGCGGUGGCCAGUGUGCGGGCUAGGAGACUGGUCCAGUCGGUGGACCUCAUGCCUGCUGGGCACCACCCACGGCACUGGGAACUUCCUUGCUGCUUUUGGUGCUGUUGGCACAGCCUUUCCAGAGCAGCAGGAUGAAUGCCAGUCUCCUCCCACGACCCUCCAGGAACGCAGACCAACACAGCUGCUCUAUUAAAUACAUGCACUUCUUAUUCUGAGUAUGUCUGA